UCGGAGGGGGUUUCUUACAAUUUUAUUAAUUUAUUAAUUAAUUUCUUUAUUUAUUUUAUAUAUUUUUUAUUUUUUUUAUUUUUAACUCUGAAAAAUUUCACGCUGUACAACAGGUGAGUACUCGCAAUGUUUAAACAUCCGGUUGAAUUAAGUUUUUUUUUUUAUUUCGGAAACGUAGAAUUUUUUUGUUUCUUCUUUUAUUUGCAUAGAGGAUUCACGCACACACACACACUCACACUCACAUACCAAAAAUCGUUGCGUCAUUAUUUUACAUUGGGCUACUGACAAAUGAGCAACGCGCUCCAUUGCGAUUAAUGUGACUGAAGCCUGGCGCGCGUCAAUUGUGUGUGUGUGUGUGUGUGUGUGUGUGGUCACACCUGACUGUAUUGCGCAAUGUACGGGCUGUAUACCAGAUUCAGCCGAUUAUUAAUUUUAUUUUAUUUUUUCUGUAUGUUCAAGCGUGAACAGUGUUGAACUGCAUACAUCGAAGUUGGUGGGGCGCCAGAGUCUGUUUGCUCAGCACUGAAAAAUGUGUGAGAACGUUCCAGCACCUUAUUUCGUUACGCAGCCACGUAACGAGUCUGGCGCAAUUGCUAAUUGGCCAGUUGCGAUAGAAUUCCAGAUAAUGGACGUUUCUUUUGACGGAAAUUUGUUUGACUUUGAACGCCAUUGCGAAUCGGAUACGAACAAAAUCUUGCGCACUUUUCUUUUCAUCAUUUUCUUGUUUUGGUUUGUUGUUUAGCCAAUAGGUGAUCGAAGAAAUCAUCAAACGCGUGUGGAAACCAUCUCGUUUCA